GGCGCCUACGGGGCGCAGCAGUGAGGAAUAUUGGUCAAUGGGCGGGAGCCUGAACCAGCCAAGUCGCGUGAAGGAAGAAGGUACUUAGUAUUGUAAACCUCUUUAGGCGGGGAGCAAUGCCGGGCACGCGUGUCCGGAGGGAGAGUACCCGCAGAAUAAGCAUCGGCUAACUCCGUGCCAGCAGCCGCGGUAAUACGGAGGAUGCGAGCGUUAUCCGGAUUUAUUGGGUUUAAAGGGUGCGUAGGCGGAUUUUUAAGUCAGCGGUAAAAUGUCCGGGCUCAACCCGGGCCGGCCGUUGAAACUGG
rnacentral:rRNA from 1 species